rnacentral:lncRNA from 1 species
UUUCGAAUGCUCAAUGGAGCAUUUUGGAGUCUUGAAAAGUUGCAGAUUUUUCCCCUCAGCAAUUGCAGAUCCCUUCUUCAUUGCGAGCGCAUGCCCUUCCCCACGAUCGCAUAGGUGUAAUUUCAGAGGGGGCCAAAUCGUUUUAUGCGAUCGUAUAGCCCUGACCGUGAUCACAUAGUUCUGCCUUUUUCUUCUCUGCGUUCGCAUUGAAUAAACUAAGCCGGUGGCUCAAGGACCAAGUUCCUCUAUGAGAUCCCAUUGUGAUUCCUGUGAUCGCAUAAGUUUGCCCCUCUCUCUCUCUUCUGCGAUCGCAUGACCAUCAUUCCGUUUGCAUAGGCCAUUUUCUGAGCCUUCAAUAUUUAGGUUACGCGAUCGCAUCCCAUUUAAUGCGAUCGCAUUGAACAAAUCACUGGGCAGUUAUAAUCAUUUCAAAAUCGAUAUUAGCCAUUUUUAUCAAAAAUACAAGUUUGAGAGGUAGGAUUCGGGAGAAAUUUCGAAGGUGUUUCGAAGGUAAUCAUUGGGUAACGAUUCUCUACUCCCUUAAGCUUAAAACCCCUAAUCUAAUCACGAAGUCAUCCUUAAUUUCGGAUUUUUGAAUGAAAAUCGGGGAAAACUUCUUAGACCAAACUAUUGAGUUUUGAAUGGGCAUUUGACCUCCGAUUUGUGAGAUUUUAUAUGAUUAGAUUCUUGAAAGCAUGAGUGUUCUGAAA